rnacentral:rRNA from 1 species
CCUACGGGGUGCUGCAGUGAGGAAUAUUGGUCAAUGGACGAGAGUCUGAACCAGCCAAGUAGCGUGAAGGAUGACUGCCCUAUGGGUUGUAAACUUCUUUUAUAUGGGAAUAAAAUGUUCCACGUGUGGGAUUUUGUAUGUACCAUAUGAAUAAGGAUCGGCUAACUCCGUGCCAGCAGCCGCGGUAAUACGGAGGAUCCGAGCGUUAUCCGGAUUUAUUGGGUUUAAAGGGAGCGUAGGUGGAUUGUUAAGUCAGUUGUGAAAGUUUGCGGCUCAACCGUAAAAUUGCAGUUGAAACUGGCAGUCUUGAGUACAGUAGAGGUGAGCGGAAUUCGUGGUGUAGCGGUGAAAUGCUUAGAUAUCACGAAGAACUCCGAUUGCGAAGGCAGUUCACUGGACUGCAACUGACACUGAGGCUCGAAAGUGUGGGUAUCAAACAGGAUUAGAUACCCUGGUAGUC